rnacentral:rRNA from 1 species
UACGGAGGGUGCAAGCGUUGCUCGGAAUUAUUGGGCGUAAAGGGGAGGUAGGUGGUCUCAUUUGUCUGGGGUGAAAGCCUUGAGCUUAACUCAAGAAGUGCCCCAGAAACGGUGAGACUGGAGUCCUGGAGAGGGUCGUGGAAUUCCCGGUGUAGCGGUGAAAUGCGUAGAGAUCGGGAGGAACACCAGAGGCGAAAGCGGCGACCUGGACAGGCACUGACACUCAACUACGAAAGCGUGGGGAGCAAACAGG